rnacentral:tRNA from 1 species
GCCUGGGUGGCUCAGUCGGUUGAGCGUCUGACUUCAGCUCAGGUCAUGAUCUCACUGUUCGUGAGUUCGAGCCCCGUGUCGGGCU